ensembl:misc_RNA
CGGCAAAGCUGGGCUAGGUCUGGAGGCUGGUGUGAGAGACGAUGCGGGCGAAGGCAGGAGGCGGACGGGGAGAAGAAAAGCCGAACUGGAUUCACGGUGCCUCGGAUGGAGGCUCACAAGGGAGCUGCAAGCUCUUGCAACUCGUUCUGCCCGGUGAGAAGUGAUCCAGCUUGGGCUGACAGGAGGCUCAGGAAGCCCUCACGUUCCUUGCUUUUUUACCUGCCAAUCAAACCGCUACAAGACAACACCCUGAUCUGGCGUGGACAA